GAAUUCAAAACUUUACUAUAAUUAGACUUUAGUCUGAAAAUAAUUUUCACAGCCAAAAACUCGCCGGAAACCACCACUCAAGAAAACAACACUAGUAGUAUCAUAUAUACAAAAUUUUUUACUUUAUAGAGAAUUUUUUUUUUCAAGAAUCUUGAAAGUUUAGAGUUUUAUGAUUGUGGGGUUUUUGUGAAAAAGUGAUAGGCUGUGUAAAAAAGGGUGUAUUGGGUGAUGGCUGAAGAAGCUAAAGGAGUGAGCUUUUGAAUUUUGGAAGAGCAAAAGGGACGGACGACGUCGUUUUUAAGUUGUGCAGUGAUGAAGAUUCUUCUCAGAUUCCUUUUUAUGUUAUUGGUGAUCUUUAAUCCUAAUGCUCAACAGACUGCAAGAGCGUUCACAGGAACAUAUGGGAUUAAUUACGGAAGAAUUGCAGAUAACAUCCCUUCACCUGAUAAAGUGGUUAAACUUCUUCGGGCAGCAAAGAUUAAGAAUGUUAGAAUUUAUGAUGCAGAGCCUAGUGUCCUUAAUGCGUUUAAAGGAACAGGGCUUGAGCUAGUGGUUGGACUUCCUAAUGGGUUUGUAAAAGAAAUGAGUGCUAAUGCAGAUCAUGCUCUGAAUUGGGUAAAAGAUAAUGUGAAGGCAUUCCUUCCUGAUACCCGCAUUGUUGGCAUCGCUGUUGGAAAUGAAGUUUUGGGGGGUAGUGACAAUGAAAUGGAGGUAGCCCUUCUGAAUGCUGUAAAGAAUGUAUAUAAUGCAACAAAAAAGCUUGGGAUAAGUGAUGUUGUUCAGAUAUCGACCGCACACUCGCAGGCUGUUUUUGCUGAUUCAUUCCCUCCUUCUUAUUGUGUAUUUAAAGAUGGUGUUGCUCAGUUGAUGAAGCCACUUUUAGAGUUUUUCUCGAAAAUUGGAUCUCCAUUCUGUUUAAAUGCUUAUCCGUUUUUGGCUUACACGUACAACCCAGAUAAAAUAGACAUAAAUUAUGCUCUUUUUCAGCCAAAUGAAGGCAUUGUUGACAAUAAAACUCAUCUACAUUAUGAUAACUUGCUCGAUGCUCAGAUUGAUGCAGCGUAUGCAGCUCUAGAGGAUGCUGGUUUCAGGAAAAUGGAAGUCAUAGUUACUGAAACAGGCUGGGCCUCUGAUGGGGAUGAGAAUGAACCUGCUGCCACCCCAAGUAAUGCUAGAACAUAUAAUUAUAAUCUGCGUAAAAGGCUUGCCAAGAGGAAAGGAACUCCAUUGAGGCCGAAAAAAAUGUUGAAGGCAUAUAUUUUUGCACUCUUCAAUGAGUAUCAAAAGACGGGUCAAUCAUCAGAGAAGAACUUCGGACUCUUCAAAGCUGAUGGUAGUAUAUCUUAUGAUGUUGGUUUCUCUGGGCUGCAAGAUAUUUCAGCUGCGUCUUCGCUUUUGUCUUUAAAGGAGGAGGACUGGAAAGAGGUUGAGAGUAUGUACCAGAGUUGAUGAGGGGGGUGAAAAGGGUUAGAUCCAUUGGCUAAAACUAGACUUCUUUUUCGGUUACUAAGUACUUGAAAAGCUUCCUGUUCUGCUACUUAGAACUUUUGUAGAAAGAGGAAAUGAGCAGAGGAAAAAAAAAGAAAAGGAAAGAAGAGAAGAAGGCAAGUAAGUUUGUAAAGUUCAUCACUUUGAAGCUUAUGGUAUAAAUUGUCUUUUCAGAUCUGGUUUUGAUAAGUGAUGUACUAUGAUCAUUUUCAGCAUGGAUAUCAUGCUGUUCUUGGUGUCUCCAAGACUGUUGGUGCCUGAGUUGGAACUUUGGAAAUACUGGGAAUUCAAGCUCAAGGGUAUUAUUUGUCAGCGACAGCAAUCACGACUUCAAUAUCGAUUCUGCUGUCGAGGUUAUGACAACAUUUUUUGAUCUCAUCUUAUACGAAAUACCAGAUUAGCGUCUCGAGUUUCCUAGUUACAGAAACUGCUACAACGACAACAUUAGGAAUGCAGUCUCUUAGAUCUUCAUCGCUAGUCGUCCAUGGAGAUUGCUGAUUGUUUUUGAAUUUUUCAGCAAUGCAGAAUCAGUAUAUAUGAAAUAAGUUCUUUCUUGGUUUA